ensembl:lncRNA novel transcript, antisense to VSIG10
CAGCUUUCCUUCUCAAAGCUUUUAAACAUCAUUGGGAAAACUUAGAGCAAAUCAAACCAAUGUUUUUCAAUACAUGGAAGGAAAGAUGUGUGUGCUUGGUUUUGUUUUUUGCUGAGACCCAAACAUUGUUAGUGCAAGCCCCCGCCAGGGGUGCAGGUGGAGUCAAAGCUGAAUGAAGAGCUCGUCUUCAAUGUAGCUCUCCAAGCUUUCAGAGCAAGACAACCAUGGACCAUCCUCUUCUUCAGACUGGCCUGUCUUCUUCUUGAACAAUGUCACUUUGCUCCUCACUGCUGUCAUCUGUAUGGGGGGAAAUAAACCCAAUGCUUUG